GACGAACGCUGGCGGCGUGCUUAACACAUGCAAGUCGAACGCUGAAGCACCAGCUUGCUGGUGUGGAUGAGUGGCGAACGGGUGAGUAAUACGUGAGUAACCUGCCCUUGACUCUGGGAUAAGCCCGGGAAACUGGGUCUAAUACUGGAUGCUACAUGUCACCGCAUGGUGGUGUGUGGAAAGGGUUUACUGGUCUUGGAUGGGCUCACGACCUAUCAGCUUGUUGGUGAGGUAAUGGCUCACCAAGGCGACGACGGGUAGCCGGCCUGAGAGGGUGACCGGCCACCCUGGGACUGAGACACGGCCCAGACUCCUACGGGAGGCGGCAGUGGGGAAUAUUGCACAAUGGGCGAAAGCCUGAUGCAGCGACGCCGCGUGAGGGAUGACGGCCUUCGGGUUGUAAACCUCUUUCAGCAGGGAAGAAGCCACAAGUGACGGUACCUGCAGAAGAAGCGCCGGCUAACUACGUG
rnacentral:rRNA from 1 species